rnacentral:rRNA from 1 species
UACGAAGGGGGCUAGCGUUGUUCGGAAUUACUGGGCGUAAAGCGCACGUAGGCGGACAGUUUAGUCAGAGGUGAAAGCCCAGGGCUCAACCUUGGAAUUGCCUUUGAUACUGGCUGUCUUGAGUUCGGGAGAGGUGAGUGGAAUGCCGAGUGUAGAGGUGAAAUUCGUAGAUAUUCGGCGGAACACCAGUGGCGAAGGCGACUCACUGGCCCGAUACUGACGCUGAGGCGCGAAAGCGUGGGGAGCAAACAGG